UUGCAAUGAACUGGUCAAUGUCACUCCUUCCUGUGUGUCCUGAAAAAGCUAUAUCCACUCAAGCAAAUGACUGCUAUACAGGUUUGAGGGAGAAGGGGGAAGCAAAAUACAAACGAAAGCAAUAAAAAAACUGUACUACUGAAUUAUAGGUUUUUCUAUGCAUUGACAUCAUGCUGAUUUCAACAAAUUUGAGAGCUUGAAGUUUACUCAAACUCCAGAGCCCAGUGGAUUAAAAGACGUCUAAAACGGACUGGAGGCUCCCUCCAAGGUCAAGUGCAGACACAGGCAUAAGCGCUUCCUGAAGAAGUUUUAAGUUGUUGUGGAAGCUGUGAAAAAGCUUGUUACGCUGAAGAAGAAAUAGACUUGACUCACCUGCAGGAGGCUACUUGGCUGAUUAAGAUAUAAGAUCUUCAGCCAAAUUCAUCCAAGGCAUCCAUCUGUCUUCAAAGAGAUUAGAAAUUUGUUCUGAAGCAGUGCAAAGAGUAAGACCAAGAAUUUGAUGAGAACUAUGUGCCAGCUCUGGAAAUGAUCUAGGACCCAAGGGAGCCUACACAAAACCAAACAGAUAGUACCAGGAGAUGGCACGUUUCAUUCUUUUAAAAAUAUCUACAAGAUGAAUUCAAACAGGAGCCAUGAGUCAUCUAGCAUAAUUCUAUCAUGCUGUUUCACAAAAGACUCCAACUCUAUCCCAAAAGGAUUGUGUAUAAUUUACCACCAAUUACAAGAACUUUUAUUAUUGACUGAUACUCUCUGAAGUAGAUAAGGAUUACUACACUGAUUUUAGAAAAGAGAAAACUCAAGCUCGAAAUGUAAAUUGGUUUGUCACAUAGCCAUUUAUUCAUUCAUCUAACACAAGUUUUUUGAACAUAUGUGACAUUACAAAGAAGAUUAAGACAUAAUCUCUCUCUUGGGAGAACGAGGUGGGCGGAUCACGAGGUCAAGAGAUCGAGACCAUCCAGACCAACAUGGUGAAACCCCAUCUCUACUAAAAAUACAAAAAAAUUAGCAGGGCAUGAUGGCACGCGCCUGUGGUCCCAGCUACUCAGGAGGCUGAGGCAGAAGAAUCGCUUGAACCCAGGAGGUGGAGGUUGCAGUGAGCCAAGAUUGCAUCACUGCACUCCAGCCUGGCGACAGAGCAAGACUCUGUCUCAAACAAAACAAAACAAAACCAAAAAACAAGACAUAAUCUCUAAGGAGCACAGAGAAAUAUUAUGGAAAUGACACAAAAUAAGCAAUUAAUGCUGUCUCAGAGGAGGCACUAUGUGUAAAAGACAAGCCUUUUGCACAGCACUACCUGCCUUCUCAGAUAUGAUGCAGAGAUGAAGCUUUAAAUUUGUGUUCCUUGUAUAUUAAAGUAAUUAAGUUAUCGUCCUUCAAAAUGUUUAAGUCCCAAGUACCUUGUAUCAAUAUACUCUCCUAUGAACAAUUUCAUGUAGUUGACCUUGAAAAUCUACAGUUUAUAAUAUUUCACUGCUCUCAGUCAUUCAAAUAAUUAUUGAAUACCCACUAACUAGAAGUCACUGUUCUAGGUGUGUGAACACAAAGUGAAAAGGACAUGUUUCUUACUGUCAAGAAAUUUUAAUUUAGUAAAAGAAAUCUACCCAGAAAUAAAUACAAUACUAGACAGAAUGUGUUUACUGCUGACAGAGAGAUCCAACAAUCUGAUAUUGCACAUAGAAGAGAAACCAAUUAAUAUACUCUUAACUUAGAAAUUCAUUGAUAGCUUAAAUGUGAAAGGUAUUCAUGAGUGAGAACGAUAAAAUUGAACAUCUUGAUUAUCAGACUAUUAGACAUGAACUGAGUUGUGGGCUCUCAUGAGACGUUUAAGAUAUUAAAGGUGUUCCUUUUUCUAUAUUAUUUUCUAUAAUAUAUCUAUUUUAAUAAUUGUAUGCUAAUAAUGUAGCCGUAUUUAUCAAAUACUUGCUGUGGUUUAAAUAGCCUGAACUCUGAGCUCUAAAAUCAAAGGUUUCUAAACCCUGCAGUCAUUAUUCUCUCCGAGGGAGUACAGGAAGAGGAUAAAUUAAGACAUCAUCUGCUUCUUGUGGUGAGGUUUGCAUCAUCACGACUUUUUCAAUCUUAAAUAUCUCUGCAUAUUUAAAGACAUGUUCAGCAUAAAAUAGAAACUCCUUAGCAUGCUUUUCAGAACCCUUCCUGAUAUCCACACCUGCUUCUACGACCUUCGUCUCUCAUCACUUUAGGCGUACACCCUACACUCCUGGCAAAUUGGAUUAUCUUAGGUUCCCCAAACAUGGCAUCACUUUGUACCAUCCAGCCCUUCCUCGACGCUUCUUGCCCCGUCCUUUCAAACUUAUCUCAGCCUGUCACCUCCACUGGGGAGUCUUCCUUGACUCUUUUUUCCCUAGGCCAGAUUAAGGGUCUCUGCUCUGUGUACCCUAAUGCUUUGGGCUUACUCCAUCAUAGCUUUCCCACAGCCCAGUGCCCUUCUCUUCCCUUGCCUCUCAUCUAAACUUGACUGAGAAGGUCUGGAAAGCAGGGAUUAUAUCUUCCACUGGGUUCGCUCAAGUACCCAUCUGAUGCAUGGGAAGAAUAGGAACACAAUAUAUUAGCUGAAUGCAAAUAUGGAAGAAGAGAGGGAGGGAACACAAGUGGCUUUAGUUAUUUCUAAGUGAAAGGGGAGUUGUUCUGAAAAAGAGGAAAUUAAGACAAGCUGCUGAGGAACUAUAAAAUUGAAAGUAAUUACAUUUUCCUUGAUAUCAAAAUAAGAUUUAGCCUUUCUUGAAUUCAUUUAUAUCACUCAAUAAAUUCCUUCUGGAUAAUAUUUUUCAGGUACUCUACUUGGGCAGGUUUUUUAAAAUUUCAAUCUAUACAGCAACUGGACCAUUUGAAAUUAACUGUUUUCCUCAACUCGGCCUAAAAUGUGUUUAUUUUGAAAAUGGUAAGAUCACGCAUCUAUCAUGUGUAUAUAUAUAAAUGAAAAAAAUGUACCAAAUUCCAUGCUUAAAUGUUUUCAUCUGAAACAAUGAUGCUGCUAUAAACAUUACUGUGCAUCACUGUAAAUAUCUUGCAAAAGCAACAUCAUCUUUUUUUUUUUUUUUUUUUUGAGACGGAGUUUCGCUCUUGUUACCCAGGCUGGAGUGCAAUGGCGCGAUCUCGGCUCACUGCAACCUCCAUCUCCUGGGUUCAGGCAAUUCUCCUGCCUCAGCCUCCUGAGUAGCUGGGAUUACAAGCACGCGCCACCAUGCCCAGCUAAUUUUUUGUAUUUUUAGUAGAGACAGGGUUUCACCAUGUAAGCAUCAUCUUCUUGGAAGACAUUAAAGUUUCAACAGCUAUGGCAGAAACAAUGGAAGCUAUAACAAUUGUUACAUUUCAAACUACUUUUUAUGUGUUUCUUUGGCCACCCCAACUUUUGCUUUAUCUUUGCUUUCAGGCUGACCACCCAAAAAUCAGACCAUGUUUGUAAAAUGGAUUUGACCUCAGUUUCCUCUGCUUGCUUUCUUCAGUGAAAUCAAGUGCCUAGGAAUGGAAGGGAUAGGAAAUGAUACAUUAUGAGCAGUCAGUCAUGUUUUACAGUUUUGGGUUCAGUUGCAGCUGUCCUAUAAAUAUAGGCUCACGCCUUUCUGUUUUUGAAACAUGUAUUUCUCUCUGAUUCAAACUACAUUCCCUUGACAAUGAUGAAUACAUUUGAGGUGAUCAAUAAAUAUCAACCGUAGCUCGUUUUCUGUGAACACAGUAGCAGUAUAAUAAAUAAGAUAAUCUACAAUCCUGAAGGAUGAAUAUUUUGGAGGAACAAGGUGAUUAUUCUAAUAGGUGCUAUAUUCAUAUUUCAUGCCAUGUUCUCAUGAGUCUUAGCAACAUCUGAUAAUUAGAGCAACUCUUCUCCAAUCAGCUAUUAGUCAUUGUCGACAAUUGACACUCACUUGUAUAUUCUGCUAAGUGAUUUAACAAAUAGCUUCAUUCACCAAACACAUUAGGAAAUUCUAAAAAGAAUAGGAAGUAUAUCAGAUUCUUGAGUUACAUGGCUCACUCUUCACUUGAAUCCAGCGGUUGGUUUACAGCAAUGGCAUCUCAACAUCGCCACCUGCUGCUCACUCUGGGUCCAAACAUGCAUAACUCAAGCCACAGACUGCCAGACAUUACCUCAGUGAGAAACAUUCCUGAAACGGGUAAUCAUCAAACCCUAGCAGAAUUAAAGGCAAUCCACUGCACUCCUGGAGCCCUAGACAAAGGCAGUGAGGGAGCUGUUGUCAACGUGGGCAAUUAAGUGAUAAUUAUAUUUUACUGAAUUUCACAAAUUGGAAAAUAUAUUGGCUUUUGGAUUUUUUGUAUGUUUUGAUCUCUGCUAUAUCCCCAGCAUUUAGAACAAUGCCUGACACAUAGCAGUGGCUCAAUAAAUAUAUACUAAAUAAGUAAAUAUGUAAAGAGAAGAAGGGUAAUUAUUCUCAUGAAUUCAUCUUUAAAUAAUAAAAUAAAUAUUGUGACAUAUUUCUAGUAACUAAUAAUAUCCCUACCUAGAACUGUUAGAGAGAAGAAUGAAUGAAAAUGAAAGGAGGUGUGACGUGGUGGCUCACACCUAUAAUCCCAGCACUUUGGGAGGCCGAGGAGGGUGGACUGGAUCCCCUGAGCCUAGGAGGUCAAGACAAGCCUGGGCAACAUGGCAAAAUCCCGUCUUUACAAAAAAUACAAAAAACUAGCCUGGUGUGGUGGCAUCCUAGCUGCCUGGGAGGCUGAGGUGGGAGGAUUACCUGAGCCUGCAAAGUCAAGGCUGCAGUGAGCUGUGAUCAUGUCACUGUACUUCAGCCUCGAUGAUGGUGAAACCUUGUCUCCACUCCCCCCGAAAAAAGAAAGAAAAUGAAAGGGGGGAGAGAGUCUCUUCAAUAUAUUUAACCAGAAAUAUGAUAACAACCUGGACGAAGAAAGAAAUAUAUAUGAGAAAAUUACUAACAGUCUAUUCUGCAGAUAAAAUGGGAUAUUCUUUUUAACAAAAUUCAAAAAAAGUAAAAAGUAUAUUUAAAAAAUCAUAUAUUUCACUUUUUACCGAGCUGAUAUUCAAGCUAUCCCACUCACUUAUUUAUAUAUUGCCCACAAUACUAACAAAUUUGUUACGCUAAUAUUUGACAAAGAAAUGGAAAAAGUAAUAUUGACCUAGCUUCAACAAUUUUGGAACAAGAGGUUGUUUGCUAAAAAAUAAUUCCUCUUACCCAGAAUGAAACUGAUUUUCAAGGAAAGUACCUUUUUGUAAAGUGCUGACUUCAAGUUUUAUUCCUGCAGUGCUAACAUCCAGAUCUGCAUGUAUUGGGAGAGAAAGUUCAUGGAUCUCUGGUGCUCCCACUGGUAGGUCAAGAAUGCAGGAUUCUGACCCUUCUACAUCUGGGCAGAUGUAGAAGUGUUGAGUCCACAAUAGCAACCUCCAGGGUUGAAGUGAUGUUGCCCUCCAAAACAAAGAGCAAACUUGCUUCCUAUUUGCUGUAAAACUGCAGAUUCCCCAAGUUUAGGGUUCCUUUCCUGAACCCCAUCUGCUACAGCUGCAUACAUCCAUCUGGGCCCAGCUGCAUCACCCAGGGAGAAUUGGCACUGGGAGAGCGGAUGUGGCAUACCAACACUCUGGCUACUGCUUUGCUGUGAUAAAUCACCUCUGACCCAGAAGUCAGGAGUCUUCUGUAAUCAUCCAUGAAACUGUGAUGAGUUAACAUGUUAGCUUGAAAGCCGGGUAAAAUCUCAAGGCCCUCAUAGUUCUUGAGAGCAUGACUUCAUCCAAGAACAGGACUGUUCACAAUUAGGGAAUCCCAGUGUACUCAAGGCACAAUAAAGUGAAUUUUCAAGAGGAAAAUUCAGUGUUUUGGAGACAACUGGUUAUAUAAACUGAAAAUACCUUUUCACUAGUGUAAACAGAAUUUUAUUCUAGAAAAAAUUUUGAGGGAUUUUGAAAUUAUAUAUUAAUUUUAAAAAUUCAGUGCUUUAUUUAAACUAGGGUUAUGAGUGUCACAUUAAAAAUUGAGUACAGUGGUCAGAUUUUUGUAAAAUUUGGAGAUUUUACAAUAUCAGUAAAAAAGAAAAAUACCAUUUAUAGGCCACAAGAAGAGUUUUCUUUUUAAAGUGGAUUUAUACUAUAUGAUUUCAUCAUUUAUUUCUACCUAAUAAUAUAGUAAAGAAUUCACUACAAGAAUCAUGAUCAACAAUCUACUUUCCCAACUCCAGCUUUGGUUUUUGCUAAGGGUAGAAAUAUCCAUUAUCUUUCACAUAGAGUUCUUAGAUUUGGAGUCAGAAAUUAUUUUCUUGAUACUUUGUAAAGGGAGAGGAUUCUAACACUAUUCUGAGUGCCAGGUGGCUAUAGAACAUGCUAUAAUAUGGAUAACCCCAGUGGAGCUCAUUAUGAUUUGUAUAGUUAGCAUGCCAAGGCUUUCAAAUGAUAAAACAGGGAAUCUAGAAAUCAAAUGUUUUUGUGGUCAAGAAGCAUGAAUUCUCUUCUCCAAUCUGUCCUGAAUUACUGUAUGAGUCUGAGAAAGUAACCACUGUCUUCUUCUCCUUAAAAAAAAAAAAAAAAAAAAAACUUUUGCAGGAGAUAUUCCUUCUCUGUUAAAACCAGGAAAAUAUCCCAGCAAAGUACAAAAUAAUGACAUCAGAGAAAGCAACAGUAAGAAAAUGAGAAUGGAAGAAACCGUAUUUUCCAGGCUUUAAACUAUAGGGUUUGUACUGGAAGCAUCGUUUUAUAGCAAUAUGUUUGAUAACUCUUUUCCUUAGAAGCAGUAUUAACUGACUUGCAGAUGACCCACUCAUUUUGAAGAAUGAAUAUGCAAUGUAAAUUUAAAAGUCUCUUAUUCAAAAACAAAAUUACUGAGGAGAAACUUAACUAGCACCUAACAUCUAAUUAGUUCAACAGCUCCAGUAAUAUGGUAUAUCUGUUUCCUCUCUUAAAGAAAUUCCCAAUGACAAAUAAUUUGACAAUAAAUCUUUAACAUUUUACCACAACUCA